AGCGUACACGGUGGAUGCCCUGGCAGUCAGAGGCGAUGAAGGACGUGCUAAUCUGCGAUAAGCGUCGGUGAGGUGAUAUGAACCGUUAUAACCGGCGAUUUCCGAAUGGGGAAACCCAGUGUGUUUCGACACACUAUCAUUAACUGAAUCCAUAGGUUAAUGAGGCGAACCGGGGGAACUGAAACAUCUAAGUACCCCGAGGAAAAGAAAUCAACCGAGAUUCCCCCAGUAGCGGCGAGCGAACGGGGAGGAGCCCAGAGCCUGAAUCAGUGUGUGUGUUAGUGGAAGCGUCUGGAAAGGCGUGCGAUACAGGGUGACAGCCCCGUACACAAAAAUGCACAUAUUGUGAGCUCGAUGAGUAGGGCGGGACACGUGGUAUCCUGUCUGAAUAUGGGGGGACCAUCCUCCAAGGCUAAAUACUCCUGACUGACCGAUAGUGAACCAGUACCGUGAGGGAAAGGCGAAAAGAACCCCGGCGAGGGGAGUGAAAAAGAACCUGAAACCGUGUACGUACAAGCAGUGGGAGCCUCUUAAUGGGGUGACUGCGUACCUUUUGUAUAAUGGGUCAGCGACUUAUAUUCUGUAGCAAGGUUAACCGAAUAGGGGAGCCGAAGGGAAACCGAGUCUUAACUGGGCGUUAAGUUGCAGGGUAUAGACCCGAAACCCGGUGAUCUAGCCAUGGGCAGGUUGAAGGUUGGGUAACACUAACUGGAGGACCGAACCGACUAAUGUUGAAAAAUUAGCGGAUGACUUGUGGCUGGGGGUGAAAGGCCAAUCAAACCGGGAGAUAGCUGGUUCUCCCCGAAAGCUAUUUAGGUAGCGCCUCGUGAAUUCAUCUCCGGGGGUAGAGCACUGUUUCGGCAAGGGGGUCAUCCCGACUUACCAACCCGAUGCAAACUGCGAAUACCGGAGAAUGUUAUCACGGGAGACACACGGCGGGUGCUAACGUCCGUCGUGAAGAGGGAAACAACCCAGACCGCCAGCUAAGGUCCCAAAGUCAUGGUUAAGUGGGAAACGAUGUGGGAAGGCCCAGACAGCCAGGAUGUUGGCUUAGAAGCAGCCAUCAUUUAAAGAAAGCGUAAUAGCUCACUGGUCGAGUCGGCCUGCGCGGAAGAUGUAACGGGGCUAAACCAUGCACCGAAGCUGCGGCAGCGACACUAUGUGUUGUUGGGUAGGGGAGCGUUCUGUAAGCCUGUGAAGGUGGCCUGUGAGGGUUGCUGGAGGUAUCAGAAGUGCGAAUGCUGACAUAAGUAACGAUAAAGCGGGUGAAAAGCCCGCUCGCCGGAAGACCAAGGGUUCCUGUCCAACGUUAAUCGGGGCAGGGUGAGUCGACCCCUAAGGCGAGGCCGAAAGGCGUAGUCGAUGGGAAACAGGUUAAUAUUCCUGUACUUGGUGUUACUGCGAAGGGGGGACGGAGAAGGCUAUGUUGGCCGGGCGACGGUUGUCCCGGUUUAAGCGUGUAGGCUGGUUUUCCAGGCAAAUCCGGAAAACCAAGGCUGAGGCGUGAUGACGAGGCACUACGGUGCUGAAGCGACAAAUGCCCUGCUUCCAGGAAAAGCCUCUAAGCAUCAGGUAACAUCAAAUCGUACCCCAAACCGACACAGGUGGUCAGGUAGAGAAUACCAAGGCGCUUGAGAGAACUCGGGUGAAGGAACUAGGCAAAAUGGUGCCGUAACUUCGGGAGAAGGCACGCUGAUAUGUAGGUGAAGCGACUUGCUCGUGGAGCUGAAAUCAGUCGAAGAUACCAGCUGGCUGCAACUGUUUAUUAAAAACACAGCACUGUGCAAACACGAAAGUGGACGUAUACGGUGUGACGCCUGCCCGGUGCCGGAAGGUUAAUUGAUGGGGUUAGCGGCAACGCGAAGCUCUUGAUCGAAGCCCCGGUAAACGGCGGCCGUAACUAUAACGGUCCUAAGGUAGCGAAAUUCCUUGUCGGGUAAGUUCCGACCUGCACGAAUGGCGUAAUGAUGGCCAGGCUGUCUCCACCCGAGACUCAGUGAAAUUGAACUCGCUGUGAAGAUGCAGUGUACCCGCGGCAAGACGGAAAGACCCCGUGAACCUUUACUAUAGCUUGACACUGAACAUUGAGCCUUGAUGUGUAGGAUAGGUGGGAGGCUUUGAAGUGUGGACGCCAGUCUGCAUGGAGCCGACCUUGAAAUACCACCCUUUAAUGUUUGAUGUUCUAACGUGGGCCCGUAAUCCGGGUUGCGGACAGUGUCUGGUGGGUAGUUUGACUGGGGCGGUCUCCUCCUAAAGAGUAACGGAGGAGCACGAAGGUUGGCUAAUCCUGGUCGGACAUCAGGAGGUUAGUGCAAUGGCAUAAGCCAGCUUGACUGCGAGCGUGACGGCGCGAGCAGGUGCGAAAGCAGGUCAUAGUGAUCCGGUGGUUCUGAAUGGAAGGGCCAUCGCUCAACGGAUAAAAGGUACUCCGGGGAUAACAGGCUGAUACCGCCCAAGAGUUCAUAUCGACGGCGGUGUUUGGCACCUCGAUGUCGGCUCAUCACAUCCUGGGGCUGAAGUAGGUCCCAAGGGUAUGGCUGUUCGCCAUUUAAAGUGGUACGCGAGCUGGGUUUAGAACGUCGUGAGACAGUUCGGUCCCUAUCUGCCGUGGGCGCUGGAGAACUGAGGGGGGCUGCUCCUAGUACGAGAGGACCGGAGUGGACGCAUCACUGGUGUUCGGGUUGUCAUGCCAAUGGCACUGCCCGGUAGCUAAAUGCGGAAGAGAUAAGUGCUGAAAGCAUCUAAGCACGAAACUUGCCCCGAGAUGAGUUCUCCCUGACUCCUUGA
rnacentral:rRNA from 1 species